AAAUCUUGCGUUGCUUCAGUGUCCCAGCACUGGAUACACCCUUGCCUAUCUGAAAGAUCCAUCGACGAUGAUUGGACAGGCUACAAUCUACAUACGUCCACUUCAACAGGAUCUACCCUUAGAUUGUCCAUUUGUUGUUGUUGUUAGGAGAGCUCACGUCCUGCCUCUAGUCCAGUCAUCCCCUGCAUCACUUGUCAGAAGGAAGUUCCCUUUUCAGAGAUGAAGCUGCACAGAUUGAGCUGCAAUGGGACACCCAUGCAGGAAUCAGAAAGAGAACAAGAGGGAGGCCAAAGUGAAGAAAAUGAUAGUGAGACAGCCCUAGUCAGUGACAGUGUUCCAGUGAGGCCUGAAACAUCAGCUGAGAGUGCAG